rnacentral:rRNA from 1 species
UACGUAGGGGGCAAGCGUUGUCCGGAUUUAUUGGGCGGAAAGAGCGUGUAGGCGGCUAGGUAGGUCCGUUGUGAAAACUCGAGGCUCAACCUCGAGACGCCGAUGGAAACCAUCUAGCUAGAGUCCGGAAGAGGAGAGUGGAAUUCCUGGUGUAGCGGUGAAAUGCGCAGAUAUCAGGAAGAACACCCGUGGCUAAGGCGGCUCUCUAGUACGGUACUGACGCUGAGACGCGAAAGCGUGGGGAGCGAACAGG